rnacentral:rRNA from 1 species
UCGCCUGUUUAUCAAAAACAUGGUUUCUUGAGAAUUUUUAAGAGAUCUAACCUGCCCACUGAUUAUUAUUGAAGGGCCGCGGUAUUUUGACUGUGCAAAGGUAGCAUAAUCAUUAGUCUUUUAAUUGAAGGCUUGUAUGAAUGGUUGAAUGAGGUGAAUACUGUUUUACAAUUAUUUUAUUGAAUUUAGAUUUUAAGUAAAAAAACUUAAAUAUUAUUAAGGGACGAGAAGACCCUAUAGAGUUUAAUAAGUGUAAUAAUUAAUUAAGUUUUGAGAAAAUUUUUAAUUAUUAUGAAAUUUAUUUAAUUGGGGUGAUUUAAAGAUAAGUAUAACUCUUUAUAAGUAUUAAUAUUUUAAUUAAUUUUUUGAUCCAUAAAUAAUGAUUAAAAGAUUUAAUUACCUUAGGGAUAACAGCAUAAUUUCUUUUAAGAGUUCAUAUCGAAAAAGAUGUUUAUGACCUCGAUGUUGGAUUAAGAUAAGAUUUGGGUGUAGAUGUUCAUAAUCUAGGUCUGUUCGACCUUUAAAAUCUUACAUGAUCUGAGUUCAAACCGGAGA